GGUGCUUGCAUCAUGAUUUACAUUUGAGUGAGUGGCGAACUGGUGAGUAACACGUGGGAAACCUGCCCAGAAGCGGGGGAUAACACCUGGAAACAGAUGCUAAUACCGCAUAACAACUUGGACCGCAUGGUCCGAGAAAGAAAGAUGGCUUCGGCUAUCACUUUUGGAUGGUCCCGCGGCGUAUUAGCUAGAUGGUGGGGUAACGGCUCACCAUGGCAAUGAUACGUAGCCGACCUGAGAGGGUAAUCGGCCACAUUGGGACUGAGACACGGCCCAAACUCCUACGGGAGGCAGCAGUAGGGAAUCUUCCACAAUGGACGAAAGUCUGAUGGAGCAACGCCGCGUGAGUGAAGAAGGGUUUCCCCUCGUAAAACUCUGUUGUUAAAGAAGAACAUAUCUGAGAGUAACUGUUCAGGUAUUGACGGUAUUUAACCAGAAAGCCACGGCUAACUACGUGCCAGCAGCCGCGGUAAUACGUAGGUGGCAAGCGUUGUCCGGAUUUAUUGGGCGUAAAGCGAGCGCAGGCGGUUUUUUAAGUCUGAUGUGAAAGCCUUCGGCUCAACCGAAGAAGUGCAUCGGAAACUGGGAAACUUGAGUGCAGAAGAGGACAGUGGAACUCCAUGUGUAGCGGUGAAAUGCGUAGAUAUAUGGAAGAACACCAGUGGCGAAGGCGGCUGUCUGGUCUGUAACUGACGCUGAGGCUCGAAAGUAUGGGUAGCAAACAGGAUUAGAUACCCUGGUAGUCCAUACCGUAAACGAUGAAUGCUAAGUGUUGGAGGGUUUCCGCCCUUCAGUGCUGCAGCUAACGCAUUAAGCAUUCCGCCUGGGGGGUACGGCCGCAAGGCUGAAACUCAAAGGAAUUGACGGGGGCCCGCACAAGCGGUGGAGCAUGUGGUUUAAUUCGAAGCUACGCGAAGAACCUUACCAGGUCUUGACAUACUAUGCAAAUCUAAGAGAUUAGACGUUCCCUUCGGGGACAUGGAUACAGGUGGUGCAUGGUUGUCGUCAGCUCGUGUCGUGAGAUGUUGGGUUAAGUCCCGCAACGAGCGCAACCCUUAUUAUCAGUUGCCAGCAUUAAGUUGGGCACUCUGGUGAGACUGCCGGUGACAAACCGAGGAAGGUGGGGAUGACGUCAAAUCAUCAUGCCCCUUAUGACCUGGGCUACACACGUGCUACAAUGGAUGGUACAACGAGUUGCGAACUCGCGAGAGUAAGCUAAUCUCUUAAAGCCAUUCUCAGUUCGGAUUGUAGGCUGCAACUCGCCUACAUGAAGUCGGAAUCGCUAGUA
rnacentral:rRNA from 2 species